GCUUACCUGCGUGGCCAGAGGGCUCCGCCAGUCCGAAGCACCUGAGGAGUAGUACGAGGAACUCCGCGGCGCGGCGAAGGGUCGCCCGGCGCGUCCCCAUCCUGAAUCGGCCCAAGCAGUCCAACCGGGUCCUCGGGCGCACGCGGGACCCACCCCUCCCGCUGCGCCCAGCUGGCCCAGCCUGCGAUUUUGCCACGAGCCUCCGGGGAACCCCAGCCCCGCCCCCUCCACCCUCGGCCAAUCAGGCGGGGCGGGGCGGGGCAAGGGAGCGGAAUCGUUGGCGGGAAGACAAAAAGCUAAAAGUUACUGCGCGUCUUCUAGGCGACAGACCCGUCAGGAGACGGGAAGUGAGCGCGUAGCUAAGAGUGCAGAGUGUCGCUCAGACUACCGGGCUUGGGAGUCCUGGCCCCCACUCUAAUCCGGUUAAGUUGAGAUGCGGCACUUGCUGGCACUUGGCAACUUCCUGGUGUGUGGGUUGGGCUCGUUUCGGACUUUGUUCUCUGCCUAGCGCACCUGUCUGAGAGGACCUCUUGAUUGCCGGCUGGGCUGGAAAGGCACCCACAUCCUCUCAUACCACAGAGGCGGAAAUCUGCACUCGUAGUGUUGCUGCUGUGAUCAAGCCAAAGAAUUCAGGUGUCCUUGGUUGCGUCUUGUGUAUUUGGAUAGUGCAAACAAAGGCGAGGUAAUCACACGCUGCAGUUUAACCCGCAACUGUUAAAGAAUGAAAAGUAAGAGCUAUUUGAGUGAACCUACAAUCAAUACUUCCAACGAUUUAGACCUUAUAACCGUCUGACCUUUGCAAGCUGCAGGACCCAUAAAGGUGGUGACUAUGUCUGUUUAGACACAUCUGUGUUCCCAGUACCUAGCUCAUGAUUUGCUGGAUGAACAACUGAAUAAGUAUACGACAACUAUGAAACUAUAACGUAACUUGGAAAAGAUUUUUGAAUGUCAUAACAAGAAUGGACUUAUUUUCCCCCUGCUCCAUUGUAGAACAGCCUCCAUUUAUACUGAAUCUUUAAGAGAUAAUACUGAAAUAUUUGUGGAUGACACAAGAUGAUGUCUGGGAUUUGCUAUGACAAAAUAUGAGAAGUGU